rnacentral:tRNA from 1 species
AGGUAAAUAGCUCAAUAGUAGAGUAAUGUUCUCCAAAAACAUUGAUAUCGGUGCAAGUCCGAUUUUACCUGU